rnacentral:rRNA from 1 species
UGUAUUAGACAUAUCUCUCGGCAGUUCUCGCCUGGUGUCUGGCUGAAGCUAAGCAGGGUUGAGCCUGGCUAGUACUUGGAUGGAGACCUCCUGGGGAAAACUAAGGUUGCUGCUGGAA